AACGUAGGGGGCAAACGUUGCUCGGAAUCAUUGGGCGUAAAGCGCACGCAGGCGGUCCUGCAAGUCGGGUGUGAAAUCCCUCGGCUUAACCGAGGAACUGCGCCCGAAACUGCUGGACUCGAGGACGGGAGGGGAGAGUGGAACUCCUGGUGGAGCGGUGAAAUGCGUAGAUAUCAGGAGGAACACCGGCGGCGAAAGCGACUCUCUGGUCCGUCCCUGACGCUCAGGUGCGAAAGCUGGGGGAGCAAACGGG
rnacentral:rRNA from 1 species